rnacentral:rRNA from 1 species
UACAGAGGGGGCAAGCGUUGUUCGGAAUUACUGGGCGUAAAGGGCGCGUAGGCGGCCUCUUAAGUCGAACGUGAAAUCCCCGGGCUCAACCCGGGAACUGCGUCCGAUACUGGGGGGCUUGAAUCCGGGAGAGGGAUGUGGAAUUCCAGGUGUAGAGGUGAAAUUCGUAGAUAUUCGGAAGAACACCAGUGGCGAAGGCGACUCACUGGACAUGUAUUGACGCUGAGGUGCGAAAGCGUGGGGAGCAAACAGGG